UAUAUGUUAGUGCACACACUGGUCACCUGGUCGGGAGCGCACUUUCAGAUCCGUAUCUUUCAUUUGCAGCUGCAUUAAAUGGUUUAGCUGGGCCACUCCAUGGUUUGGCUAAUCAGGAAGUUUUGCUUUGGAUCAAGUCAGUUGUCGAGGAAUGUGGA